rnacentral:rRNA from 1 species
CCUACGGGAGGCAGCAGUAGGGAAUAUUGCUCAAUGGGGGAAACCCUGAAGCAGCAACGCCGCGUGGAGGAUGAAGGUUUUCGGAUUGUAAACUCCUUUUGUUAGAGAAGAUAAUGACGGUAUCUAACGAAUAAGCACCGGCUAACUCCGUGCCAGCAGCCGCGGUAAUACGGAGGGUGCAAGCGUUACUAGGAAUCACUGGGCGUAAAGAGGGCGUAGGCGGGAUAGCAAGUCAGAUGUGAAAUCCUAUGGCUUAACCAUAGAACUGCAUUUGAAACUGUUAUUCUAGAGUAUGGGAGAGGUAGGUGGAAUUCUUGGUGUAGGGGUAAAAUCCGUAGAGAUCAAGAGGAAUACUCAUUGCGAAGGCGACCUGCUAGAACAUAACUGACGCUGAUGCGCGAAAGCGUGGGGAGCAAACAGGAUUAGAUACCCUUGUAGUC